UUAACGAUUGCAUGGUACUCGGACGACACUAACAUUCAGGGUCUGCGGGGCCUCUGGCGGGCGCGCACCGGCCAGGGCCGGCGGCCGGCAGAGCCUGGCGGCCCGCCAAAGCAACGAGGGUAGCGAUAGCAGUGGGUGGGAGAUCUACCCGGAGGGCACGAGCUCGGUAAUGAUCCCUCCGCAGGUUCACCUACGGAGA
rnacentral:misc_RNA from 1 species